CCCUAUGGUAGCUUAGCAGGGCAGCUUCGUGCUGGCUGAUCCUAGAUUCAGUAUUCUCACCCCUGUUAAGUUGCCUCCAUU
rnacentral:misc_RNA from 1 species